CUGCAAUCAACAUUCAUUGCUGUCGGUGGGUUUUUGAUUCAAUCAACUCACUGAUCAAUGAAUGCAAACUGCGG
rfam:Monodelphis domestica chromosome 1, whole genome shotgun sequence.